UACGAAGGGGGCUAGCGUUGCUCGGAAUCACUGGGCGUAAAGCGCACGUAGGCGGCUUUUUAAGUCAGGGGUGAAAUCCUGGAGCUCAACUCCAGAACUGCCUUUGAUACUGAGGAUCUUGAGUUCGGGAGAGGUGAGUGGAACUGCGAGUGUAGAGGUGAAAUUCGUAGAUAUUCGCAAGAACACCAGUGGCGAAGGCGGCUCACUGGCCCGAUACUGACGCUGAGGCACGAAAGCGUGGGGAGCAAACAGGA
rnacentral:rRNA from 1 species